rnacentral:rRNA from 1 species
UUAAGAGUUUGAUCCUAGCUCAGGAUGAACGCUGGCGGCGUGGAUAAGGCAUGCAAGUCGAGGGGGCGCAUCACCGUGCGCACGAGACGUGCGCAGAGGUAAGAGAUAUGAAUUAAGAAAUAGGAUUUAAGAAAAAUCUGCUUUGCAGAUUUUGAUUCUUAAAAUCUUAUUUCCUAAAUCUUAAAUCUUGUUUCUGCGUUCGCGUUUCGCGAAUGCGGUGAUGCGCCACCGGCAGACGAGGUAGUAACACGUAGGAACGAACCCCGUAGUCAGGAAUAAUCCGACGAAAGUCGGACUAAUACUUGAUACACUCGCGAGAGGAAAGAUUUAUCGCUAUGGGAUCGGCCUGCGAAGUAUCAGCUAGUUGGUAGGGUAAUGGCCUACCAAGGCUUUGACGCUUAGGGGCGCUGAGAGGCGAACCCCCACCGAUGGGACUGCGACACGGCCCAUACACCUACGGGUGGCUGCAGUCGAGAAUCUUCCACAAUGGACGAAAGUCUGAUGGAGCGACGCCGCGUGACUGAUGAAGCAUUUCGGUGUGUAAAGGUCUUUUAUGAGGGAUGACAUAGCGACAGUACCUCAUGAAUAAGGGGCUGCUAAUCACGUGCCAGCAGCAGCGGUAAUACGUGAGCCCCGAGCGUUAUCCGGAAUCACUGGGCGUAAAGUGUGCGUAGGUGGUCGUGUUAGUCUUCUGUGAAAUAUUUCCGGCUCAACCGGGAAGACGCAGGGGAAACGGCACGACUCGAGCAUGUAAGAGGUCUCUGGAACUCAUGGUGUAGGGGUGAAAUCCGUUGAUAUCAUGGGGAACACCAAAUGCGAAGGCAAGAGACUGGUGCAUUGCUGACACUGAGGCACGAAAGCGUGGGUAGCGAAUGGGAUUAGAUACCCCAGUAGUCCACGCCCUAAACGAUGUUCUCUCGCCUUGCGGAGUAUCGACCCUCUGCGAGGCUAAGCUAACGCGUUAAGAGAACCGCCUGGGUAGUACAAUCGCAAGAUUAAAACUCAAAGGAAUAGACGGGGACUUGCACAAGCGGUGGAUUAUGUGGUUCAAUUCGAUGGUACACGAAAAACCUUACCAGGGCUAGAUAUUCUAGUG